UACGUAGGGGGCUAGCGUUGUCCGGAAUCAUUGGGCGUAAAGCGCGCGUAGGCGGCCCGGUAAGUCCGCUCUGAAAGUCCAGGGCUCAACCCUGGAAAGCGGGUGGAUACUGCCGGGCUAGAAUCCGGAAGAGGCGAGUGGAAUUCCUGGUGUAGCGGUGGAAUGCGCAGAUAUCAGGAGGAACACCAAUAGCGAAGGCAGCUCGCUGGGACGGUAUUGACGCUGAGACGCGAAAGCGUGGGGAGCGAACAGG
rnacentral:rRNA from 1 species